rnacentral:rRNA from 1 species
UACGUAUGGAGCAAGCGUUAUCCGGAUUUACUGGGUGUAAAGGGAGCGCAGGCGGCUUUGCAAGUCUGAUGUGAAAGGCCGGGGCUCAACCCCGGGACUGCAUUGGAAACUGUAAAGCUAGAGUGCCGGAGGGGUAAGCGGAAUUCCUAGUGUAGCGGUGAAAUGCGUAGAUAUUAGGAGGAACACCAGUGGCGAAGGCGGCUUACUGGACGGUAACUGACGCUAAGGCUCGAAAGCGUGGGGAGCAAACAGG